rnacentral:rRNA from 1 species
UUGUUGGUAAGGUAAAAGCUACCAAGGCUUCGAUCAGUAGCUGGUCUGAGAGGACGACCAGCCACACUGGGACUGAGACACGGCCCAGACUCCUACGGGAGGCAGCAGUGGGGAAUUUUGGACAAUGGGGGCAACCCUGAUCCAGCCAUGCCGCGUGAGUGAAGAAGGCCUUCGGGUUGUAAAGCUCUUUCAGCCGGAACGAAACGGUUACGGAUAACACCCGUGACUACUGACGGUACCGGAAGAAGAAGCACCGGCUAACUACGUGCCAGCAGCCGCGGUAAUACGUAGGGUGCGAGCGUUAAUCGGAAUUACUGGGCGUAAAGCGUGCGCAGGUGGUUUUGUAAGUCAGAUGUGAAAGCCCCGGGCUCAACCUGGGAACUGCGUUUGAAACUACAAGACUAGAGUGUGGCAGAGGGGGGUGGAAUUCCGCGUGUAGCAGUGAAAUGCGUAGAGAUGUGGAGGAACACCGAUGGCGAAGGCAGCCCCCUGGGUCAACACUGACGCUCAGGCACGAAAGCAUGGGGAGCAAACAGGAUUAGAUACCCUGGUAGUCCAUGCCCUAAACGAUGUCAACUAGUUGUCGGGCCUUUACGGGCUUGGUAACGUAGCUAACGCGUGAAGUUGACCGCCUGGGGAGUACGAUCGCAAGAUUAAAACUCAAAUGAAUUGACGGGGACCCGCACAAGCGGUGGAUUAUGUGGAUUAAUUCGAUGCAACGCGAAAAACCUUACCUACCCUUGACAUGUAUCGAAGCCCGCAGAAAAGCGGGGGUGCCCGAAAGGGAACGAUAACACAGGUGCUGCAUGGCUGUCGUCAGCUCGUGUCGUGAGAUGUUGGGUUAAGUCCCGCAACGAGCGCAACCCUUGUCAUUAAUUGCCAUCAUUUAGUUGGGCACUUUAAUGAGACUGCCGG